rnacentral:rRNA from 1 species
UGGGGAAUUUUGGACAAUGGGCGCAAGCCUGAUCCAGCCAUUCCGCGUGCAGGAUGAAGGCCCUCGGGUUGUAAACUGCUUUUGUACGGAACGAAACGGCGCUUUCUAAUACAGAGCGCUAAUGACGGUACCGUAAGAAUAAGCACCGGCCAACUACGUGCCAGCAGCCGCGGUAAGACAGAGGGUGCAAACGUUGUUCGGAAUUACUGGGCGUAAAGCGAGUGUAGGCGGUUUCGUAAGUCAGGUGUGAAAGCCCCGGGCUCAACCCGGAAAGUGCACUUGAUACUGCGAGGCUAGAGUACUGGAGAGGUUGGUGGAAUUCUCGGUGUAGAGGUGAAAUUCGUAGAUAUCGAGAGGGACACCGGUGGCGAAGGCGGCCAACUGGACAGAUACUGACGCUGAGACUCGAAAGCGUGGGGAGCAAAC